ensembl:lincRNA Gm26717 predicted gene, 26717
GAGGGAGGCCCGAUGUCUUCUUGCUUCUCUUGUCCAUUUCACCUCCCUCCUAGCUUGCCCAGGAUCAUUGAUUGGAUGCCCAAAGCCCUCACUACAGCAACCGGCGGUUGAUUCCUAAUGAGAGUUGGAGUCCACAGCGGCAGAGUGAAGACACAGCAGCAGAGGUUGAGAGUUCACAUCUCAAACAGUAGGCAGGAGGCAGAGAGCACAGUGGGAACAGGCAAACGUCUUCUGAAACCUCAAAGCUGCCCGCAGUGACAGGCCUGCUUCAACAAGGCCACAUGUUCUGAUCUUUCCCAAAGGAUCCCACCAACUGAGGACUAAGAAUUAAAACAUAGGAACUUAUUGAAGCCAUUCUCAUUCAAGCCACAACAGAACCCCAGCACAGCUACCAAGCACACUUGGCAAAAGAUGGUUUCCGUCUUUCCUCCCUGACACAGGUGACAAUUCAGCUCAUUGGUGGGAGCUUGACUUCACAAAGAAGAAUGGAAGAUCCAGGACAUCUGAGCCAUUUCCAGGUUACCUUUGAUGAAACAACAACAACAACAACAACAACAACAACAACAACAACAACAACCACUAUAACUUUGAUAGAAAAAGACUUUCUCUAAAAUUUCCCUCUUCUUUAUAGUUUUUUUUCAAACUUAGCCAGCAUAUGUUGAUCAUUUUAAGUCUCUAAAAAGGGUAAAUUGUUUUCCAGGGUGUACAUUUGUACACCAGUGUGUGCUUAGUGAUGGUGGAAGCCAGAAGAAGGUGUCAGGUUCCCUGCACCCAGAGUUGCACACGGUUGUGAGCAGCCAUGUGGAUACUGGGAAUUGAACCCUGGGGCCUCUAGAAAAGUGGUCAGUGCUCUUAACCUCUGAGUCACCUUUCCAGCCCAAAUAAACUGUUAUGGUAAGCAAUGGCCUUCGCAUGAGUUAAGGUGAACCCACCUCAAUCUUAGUCAUUUAGGAACCAGUUCAGAGAUCAGGGUCCGGAGAACACUUUUGGCAUACCUGGUUUCUGGCCGGGAAGAGACUGCCAAGAGUCUCAAGGACAUUUUUUGGCUUUGGCUAACAAAGAAACCAACUGCUUUUCUUAAACUGCCUAAGUUGUCUACCCAGUGUCUACCUCUUGUUCUUAUUAGGCCUUGCAAGAGCCAUUAUAGAAUCAGAGCAAUGCCUGAUGUUGUUUCUCCCAGACUAAUUUGGGGUGUUUAGUGUGACAGUUUUGGGGUGCAUCUAAACUGUCAGAUGUCAAGAGAAAAGGAAGUCCUUGCUUGGUGUCUAGAAAAAGAUGUGAAAAGGAAGUAAAGGUAAGAGUUACUAGCCUCUGCGGAGAAUAGACUCACAGUAGGAGGCUUAGCAUCAUGUGUCAAGCUCUGACAUUAGAAAUUUUAAUGUAUUAACUCUAAGUCCUAUAUUUUAUAAUAUAUUACCCUCAUAACUUGA